ACCUGAUGAUGUGGACAUUUGCGGAGUAGGUCCCUAAAGCGCUCCCAAGUCUCGAAAAAGAGUUCCCCAUCCAUCUGUGAAAAACUCAUGAUGGCUCUUCGAAGCU